CCCCCAGGGGUGGAGGUGACACAGGAGCUGGGUGCUGGGUCUUCAAGGAGUGGGGUGGUCCCCCAGGGGUGGAGGGGACACGGGAGCUGGGUGGUGGGUCUUCAAGGGGUGGGCUGGUCCCCCAGGGGUGGAGGGGACACGGGAGCUGGGUGGUGGGUCUUCAAGGGGUGGGCUGGUCCCCCAGGGGUGGAGGGGACACGGGAGCUGGGUGGUGGGUCUUCAAGGGGUGGGCUGGUCCCCCAGGGGUGGAGGGGACACGGGAGCUGGGUGGUGGGUCUUCAAGGGGUGGGCUGGUCCCCCAGGGGUGGAGGGGACACGGGAGCUGGGUGGUGGGUCUUCAAGGGGUGGGCUGGUCCCCCAGGGGUGGAGGGGACACGGGAGCUGGGUGGUGGGUCUUCAAGGGGUGGGCUGGUCCCCCAGGGGUGGAGGGGACACGGGAGCUGGGUGGUGGGUCUUCAAGGGGUGGGCUGGUCCCCCAGGGGUGGAGGUGACACAGGAGCUGGGUGCUGGGUCUUCAAGGAGUGGGGUGGUCCCCCAGGGGUGGAGGUGACGCUGGAGCUGGGUGAUAGGUCUGUGGGGAGUGGGCUGGUCCCCAAGGGUGGAGGUGACACAGGAGCUGGGUGGUGGGUCUUUGAGGGGUGGGCUGGUCCCCCAAGGGUGGAGGUGACACAGGAGCUGGGUGGUGGGUCUUCGAGGGGUGGGCUGUUUCCUCAGGGGUGGAGGUGCCACGGGAGCUGGGUGGUGGGUCUUUGGGGAGUGGGGGGUCUUUGGGGAGUGGGCUGGUCCCCCAGGGGUGGAGGUGACACAGGAGCUGGGUGGUGGGUCUUCAAGGAGUGGGCUGGUCCCCCAGGGGUGGAGGUGACAUGAGAGCUGGGUGGUGGGUCUUCAAGGAGUGGGGUGAUGAGGGGACGUGGAACAGGAGCUGGUCUUCAAGCCCCCCUUGACCCCCAAGAGCCACCAGGUUGCUUGGAGGCUGGGCGUGAGGCUCGGCGGUGCUGGUGGUGGUGGGGGGAGGAAUAACGGGGUGCCUUUCUCACCCCCACAGNNNNNNN
rnacentral:lncRNA from 1 species